AUUUGUUCAAUAUUGGCCUGUUUAGUUCAAGUAACAGGUUCUAAGGAACAGUUGUACGUGGUCUCAGUGAGUGUCCAGCCAAUUAGCGCUCGGAAUCCAUCGGUGGUCUGGAGGGUGCAGAUGGACUUCUUUGUGAAGAGGGAAUCUGGAGAGGUCUGGAGGUACCAGACACCGUUUUUCUCCGUGAAGCGGAAGACGCCGGGAGCCUGGGGCUGGUCUUUCCCUGACA